rnacentral:rRNA from 1 species
UACGUAGGUGGCAAGCGUUGUCCGGAAUUAUUGGGCGUAAAGCGCGCGCAGGUGGGAUAUUAAGUCUGUCUUAAAAGUUCGGGGCUCAACCCCGUGAUGGGAUGGAAACUGGUAUUCUUGAGUGCAGGAGAGGAAAGCGGAAUUCCCAGUGUAGCGGUGAAAUGCGUAGAUAUUGGGAGGAACACCAGUGGCGAAGGCGGCUUUCUGGACUGUGUCUGACACUGAGGCGCGAAAGCCAGGGUAGUGAACGGGAUUAGAUACCCCGGUAAUCCUGGCCGUAAACGAUGGGUACUAGGUGUAGAGGGUAUCGACCCCUUCUGUGCCGGAGUUAACGCAAUAAGUACCCCGCCUGGGGAGUACGGCCGCAAGGUUGAA